rnacentral:lncRNA from 1 species
UGGUGAUGUGGACAUAGUAAAAGUUUUACUCAUGGUUCAUUAGCCAUUAGCCAUCCAAGCUCGAUGAAGAACCACCCAUAGCCUAGUAUGUUGUUUAUUUGGUUCUUGCUUUAAUUUUUUUUAUGCUUGUAAUGUGUUUGAUAUUAUGUCUGACCAUGCUUGAUUGUAGUUGUACAUGGGGUUUUCUCUAUAUUGCAAGGCUCCAUGCCUUACAAUAUAUAGUAAGUCCUUCGAUAAUUCCUUAAAUUUGUUUCUAGUCCCUCUAAUGUCCGAUAGGGACUGGAUCCAUGCCUUAAAAUAUAUAUACUCUUGUAUGGACAGUGAACACAUACUACAUGCUUGCAUAUAUAGCCUCACUGCGUCAGAUGAGAAAAAAAAAAAAAAAAGAGGGACAGGGGAGAGAGAGAGAGAGAGAAGGGGGGGGGGGGGGGGGGGUUAGAUACACAGGAAACUACUUAAUCUGCAGCUUGAUUGCAUUUUCUGUAAACAAGCUAGCUCAAACCGAGUUCAUGUACUGAUGUGAUCUAUGAAGCUUUUUAGUUCACGACAGUAUCAUGGUGGAUGACAGGAGGAGCUAAUUUAUUUAGAAUAUGUACAACCAUCAAUCUGUCAGAAUACACCAGGAUCCUAAGAAUAAUCCCAGCAAUGUAACUGAGGUUCACCGUCUCUUUAUUGUAUUCCGACAUCCAUGGGGGUGGCAGGGAUUUGAAUCCAUUUAAUUAUGUAUACUGUUUAAAUUGACUACGUUGGAGACAUUGAAGUCAUGGUAUCUAGUUUUAGUCAAUAUAGGUAUUCGAGUUUGUUGAUUCGACUAGUGAAACCAUGACUAGCUGCCUGAUGGUAUUAGUCAAAAUGCAUAUUUAGAUUAUCAUUAACUUGAGCAGAAACAUAUUUGGGAAAUGUGUAUUGAAAAGAUUUUCAUUAUAGAAUAACACAUAUGAAUAGAGAAGAUGAUUGGUUUCUAAGAUUGGACUACAGCUUUUCCCAUAAAAACCACACCAAACAUAUUAUUUGUAAUAUCUUUCCUUAUUAUCAUAAUUCGCAGCGAGCAUAAACUUAUCAAAGUAAUGGCAAAAUAUUCAAGCGAGCAACCGGAACACAUACCAAAGGAUGUGCCCUUGGGAGAGUCAACCCUGGACCUUCAGUCAUAUCAAGAGUCGCUCCCUUUCCAUCCCCUACUUUGAAUUCAAAACAUUGAAUUAUACUUGCAAGUGUCGUUUGUACACUUCGUAAUGCCAAGGAAAUUCCUGGACAUCCUCUUCUUCCACUCCCAAAUGGCAACAAUUGAUAUUGGUGCCCUCUAACAUCUAACUGACUCUUCAGACUUCCCUCUUCUGUUAUAAAUCUGUUUGGACGGAAUUCAAGUGGAUUUUCCCAGUGCUCUGCAUCUCUUCCAAUAGCCCAAACGUUAACAAACAGCCUAGUGUUCUUUGGUAUGUCAUACUCUCCUACUUUGCAAUCUUCACUUGCUCGUCUUACUAGAAGGGGGCCUGUUGAAUGCAGCCUGAGUGUUUCCUUCACUAUUGCUUGAAGAUACGGGAGAUUUUGAAUGUCAGAUUCUUCCACCAACCUAUUCUUUCCAAUCACGGAAUCAAUUUCUUCUCUUGCUUUUUCAAAUAUGUCUGGAUGGUUGAUAAGUUCUGCUAAAGCCCAUUCAGUGGUUUUUGCAGAUGUAUCACUACCUGCAACAAACACGUCCUGUUGAUAUGUAAACAGUUUUAGUUCAAGGAACUUCAUGAAGAUGCUGAUACAAUAAAGUCAUUUAAUAUGACUAUUCUCAACGUUCGUUUUAAGUCUCUUGAGUUCAAUAGCUUUCCCUCGUAAAAACUCAUUUUGCAUGAGAUACAAACACAAGUAUAUAUAGGAUUAUAAUGAAGUCUUACUAGAAUGAAUGAUUUGAUGUUCUCGCAUGUCAACUGGAACUCUGCAUUAUCGUCUUCAGCUACGUCUAGUAAGAUAUCAAGAAGAUGUUUCACACGACCUCCCUCACUGUUUUGAUUCCGAAGCUCUCGCUGGUCUUUAAUGAUCUUCUCUAUUAUGGCAUCUAACCUUACAUGUACAUCUUCCGUCCUUUUUUUGAUUCCUUGUAAAUCAAAAUAACGACAAAACCAUAUACAAUCUGACAAGUUGAGCGUCCCACUAAUCUCUGCAACCUCAUUCACCAAAAUUCUUAUUUCUGCAGUCUCAUUUUCAGACUCUGAAGACCUCUUACUCAUCAUCAUUCUUGAUAUUAUGUUGUUCAUUAGUGUUAACAGUUCGCCACUGACACUGACAGUCUCUUCUGUUGAUAAGAAAACAAGUAUAUUAAGAUCAGAUAAUUACAUUAAUUACCCGAAACAGAAAUUAAGUUUAACAUUUUCACAAUAAUUGCAGUCUAACUAAUAAAAUGUAAUCGAAGCUCAUGAUUCGAUAAUCAAGCUUACUGUGGGGGCAUUUAGGCUAGAUUUUUAGGCCAUGUAAGGUCUUCCUUCGCCAGGAUGUUGCGGUUUGUCACUCUAAUAAGGAUAUAUAUAGGCAUCUCUUAAUGAGCAAAAAUAUAGGGAAGAGGUUGAAUAUCCAAGUAAGCAACAGACUUAUUCAGUCCAGCACGAACAUGUGUGAAAUUUAUUACCUAAAUUUAUUAGAUAAAUAUACACCUAAAUUAGACUAAUUAUAUUAUUUAUUACCUGCAUCGGAUUUUUGUAACAUCACAGCCAAGAAUCUCCGUAUUUCCUCACGCCUAACGUAGUAUAACUGGUCAAGUGUCCGGCCAUUUAAGAGUUCAGACGUACAUAGCUUUCUCAUGAAUCUCCAGUAGGGUCCAUAUUGAGCAAAAGUGAAGUCUGCAGUACCGUAUGUUAUGUAAUCGACAGCAUCUAAGAAAGGACGGCCUGAGAAAGCAAGUUCAUGAGUUUUGAGGAACUCUUUUGCUGUUUCAGCUGUGGAGGCUAUAACACAAGGUACAGAACCUAGGAGGAGAUAAAUUAAGGGACCAUAUUGGUUGGAAAGCUUGUAAAAGUUUUGAUGAAGGAUUGGUCCAAGGAGAUGAAGAUGUCCAAUGAUAGGUAGUGCUAAUGGGCUCGGUGGGAGGCGAACACGUCUUCUAGACCUCCAGAUGAUAACUGCUACAGCCGAGAUGGCAAAAAUAAUGCCAUAUACAGUAAAGUUUAGGAAGUCAGAACCAACCAUUGUUGAAAGAAUGAGAGAAAUGAUAAGUUAGAUACAGAGAUGCUUUUUUGAAACUGGGAAUAACGAGAUUUUCAAGGAGUUUUUCCUUUUUCUAACAAAAAACCAUUAUUAUGUUUGGUGAAGGUAUCUGUUUAUCUUUUGAUAAAUGUUUAUUAGACUUUUUUUAUUCAGAUAGGAGAUCUGACUUCCGGAAAAGACGUCCAAUGUAAAUCAUGAAGAUUCAGAACCUGUCAGAUCAAGUCAUGACAUACAAGAAAACUAAUUUAUAGCACAUAAAAUUCAAUAGGUACCAUGUGAAUAUUUGAAUAAGAUUAAUUUUAUUUAGGCAACUAAUUGUAGGUCGUCUAUCAAUUCGAUUGUAAAUUCUGAUCCAAAUUCUAUUUGGUUUUUAAUUUAGUUGAUGUCCACAACAAGUUGCUUGUUAAUCUAUAGAAGUUGAUAUGCUAGUAGGUUUAUUGCGUGCAACAAGUCAAUGCAAAUGUUUUAUAUGAAAAACAACUUUGAUUUUAGAGAUUUUUGGACAUACCCCCAUUUGAAAGUCGAAAUUUGAGAUACCCCCCAUUUGAAAAAAAAUUUGAGAUACCCCCAAUUCAAGAUGUGGUGUUAUCUUAGCCGUCCAUCAUAAUCCAUCAUAAAACUCACCUACGGCUGUAAAGCUCUUCUGUCUUGAAUUGGGGGGAAUCUCAAAUUUUUUUUCAAACGGGGAUAUCUCAAAUUUCGACUUUCAAAAUGGGGGGAUGAUCCAAAAAUCUCUUGAUUUUAUCAUCUUGUCUAAAUAAUUGAGUUUCUCAGAUCCAAGUGUUUCAUAUCAGUUUAUUAUCUAACAAACUUUGUCUGUUCUUCCUGCAGAUUUAAAAAGAAAGAGAAUGAUGAAAUGAUGAAAACUAGUGCAAUUCCAGUAGUCGAAAGGUAAGUAACUAAACUUAUAUAGACCUGAAGUUAACGGUUCAUAAAGUUGCUCAACUUUCUUGUUGAUGGUGUUUACAAUACAACUACCCCUGCUUUCAAAUUAGCUGUAAAACUGUAGCGACCCGACCUAUAUCACCACCGAUACUGUCCCCAUUUAACCACUGUGGAUGUCCAACAGUGUGGGGUUUUAUUGGGCAGCACCCUGCUUCCCAGGAGGUCACCCAUCCUGAGACUACUCUGGAGUUCUUUCAAACUCUGAAGCCAAGUGAGCCCAAAAGGCCUCGGUGAUAAUAUACAAUCUUUCUAUAACUAUAUACCAAUGUCAGGACAUCCCCCUCUUAGGUGUCGUAGGAUCCACCCCCUCGGCAAACCACCUGCCGACCCGGGGUAGUGUUACAAAAACCCUUAAAUAAAGGAUCUCAGUGAGUGUGAUGUUUUAUGCUUGGCCUAUUAAGUGACUUUAAAUAAGGCAUAAACUUCAUCUUUCUUCAAUGUAAGACAGAAAGUUUUCAAGUGUGCACGUAGUGCCGCUAGUAGGGGAUGUUUAUAGUAUCUGACUACAAACAGGUGUUCUUUAUAUCUGUUGCCGAGGGAGAACCAGUCUUCCUCUCUCUUUCUCAUACUUUUCCUAAGGUUAUGCUAGCCUCCAUUCCCUUUAUCUUGGAUGAUCAAACCUUCAAAAGAAUCUAAGAUAUAUAUACCAAAGAAUUGGGAUUGAUUAUUGAGGUUUUUAUGGGGGGACCUGCAGAGUGUUAUAUGUAUUAUGAUGAAAAACGAUUAGAAUUCAACAUACUGUGUUUUAUUACACUCCUACAAAAUACCAAGUAGGAAAAGUACGAUCACCAAUCUCAAUAUUUUCUUGCACAAUGUUGACAAGAAAUAAGUAGCAAACAAUUUUGAACAAACAUAUUUAGGAAGUUUUAAAAGUAGCACUGAAGUUUUCCACCUCUGUAGGUCUUCAAAUAUCAAUUAUGACAUGAGAACUACUGUAAUGUAUCAAAGAAGUUUCAUUCGAUCAUAUCAAACUUAAUAAACACAGGAUCAGACUGCAAUUAAACCCUUGCCCAGUCGAUUGCUCUCUUUCCUUGCAAGAAGUUUUUUGUGAAGAAUUCAACAUAAUCUUUUCCCUUUAUGUUCCUGAAAAGUCUUGGCCUAGUAUCGUCGAUCAAUCCAACUGCCGGCCCUAUUUCAUUAUUGAGGUCUGGCACGUAGAACAAAGCCAAAGAAAUCCUAGCCUUUUCUGAAUUUGUUACCGCCCUAUGCAUUGGGCUCAUGAACAUCCCAUUGCUCAUUAUCUUCCACCAGUCACAAUCUAUUUUAGAUACUAAAAAUGAAAAAAACACAUUCAAGAAAAAAGUUAAUAAGAGAAAUCAUGUAUACCUCCAUUUGAUCUGCAAUGUUGACAACUAAAGCAUGUGGAACAAUUGGAACUUUGAUCCACUCGCCAUCCUUGAAAACUUGAAGACCUUCCACUUCUUUGUCUUGCAACAGGAUGGUGAUUCCUCCUCCAUCAGUGUGGGGUUUGAUACCAUCAACAAGGUCUGGCCUUGAACAAGGAGGAUAGUAAUUCAUUCUGGCAUACAUAGGAGCACUUUUCCCAAACUGGCUGAGGAAGCUAUUCUCUUCCAAACCCACAGACUGUGCCAUGACUUUGAUAAUGUUGUCAGCUACCAAGCUUGCCUUGACACUAUACUCAUGCAAAGUUUCCCUGCAAGUUUUUCCUAUUUCAAUACUUUGUCUUUGUUAAUAUGCUUUCUAUCUUUCGCACAGUAUUCAAGUUGUUUGGGGAGAAUAUCUUGUGACUGAUGAGUAAAAUCUAUACAAAAACUAAAUUGAGUGAUGAGAACUAAAUAUAAUUAUUUACUUUUGGACUGAGCUCAAUUGUUAGUGUUAUACUGUUAUCUGAUUGAAUUUGAAUCCAAGGGUUAAUUAAAUGGAUCACUUAAGGUAAUAAUAUAAUAUCCUUUUAAUAAUUCUAUCUAUAUCGAGACGCACCUGAAAUGCUUAGGACUUUCUGGCCACAUUUUCAGCGUUCGCCUUUCCUGUGGCUUUACCAAAAGGUACAAUCGGUCACACCAGUCAAGAAUGUGUUGUUCUGAUUUUACUGUAUCAUUUCCAUAUCCUUCUAAACCCUCCAUUGUGCCAUCUUCACCUACUCUGGAAUACUUCUGUUUCUCUUCCAUUGGAAGAUGGAAGAAUUCCUUCAUUGUGCUCAAUAUCUUGUCUAGUAGAAUGCUUGGGAUCCCAUGGCCUACUGCCUAACAACAAAUACCAACCAACUAUGACUUAAAUUCCAGGCAUAUGUUAAACAUCCAGCUUUCUAUUCAUCUAUUGGCAUGGUUUAGAGAUGGCUGUCAGGUCUUUUUUUAGCUUAGGAAUGUAACAGUCUUUUACUAGAUUGCUCUUGAAUACAUUCAUAUAUAUAAAUAUAGUUGUUAAUAAUAAGUAGACUAACCUGAAAGAAUCCCCAUGAUGCUAAGGAAGAUCUUAGUUUAUCGAUCUCAUCUUCUUUCUCUUUGGUGGAUGUAGACGAAAGUAAGAGAUGGAGGUCAAUGAUUGGGAUUGAGGACGAGGAAGAAGCUUCAGUAGUAGGUUUGUCUUUACUGAGAUAGUUCAAUGGUGGUUCUUCACCAUUAAGGGCAACUUCUUGGACACGUUUCAGCUGUGUUGCUUCGUUGUUAGUUGUAUUCAUGUUGUUGUUCAAGGUUGAAGAAGAUCACUGUUUGAUUGAAUUAUCUCUUGGGAGUAACCGGCGUAUUUUUUUGCAAGUUAACACUUAACAGACACUCAAAAUGUCAUAAUCAUUGGCACAUUUCCAGGAAUUUUAAAGAGUUUUCUGCUUGUUGAUUAACAUUAUUGGUUUAGUUAACUCAUUAUUAUAUGUAGUACUUUUAAGACUACCACCAUUAAAACAAAAAUUCUUUUAUCUUACGCGCAGGUAAGCAGGUUCUGUUUUACUGAGACUAAAGAAUGCUUACCAAUGUAACGAGGCUCCCCGUACAGAUGCGGCUUGGCUGGACUCUUGGGGAGUUUUUAAGAAUUCAGAUCAAAUACAAGUUUAUAUGCUAAAUUUCAUAAUCAAAGAACAAG